ACCUCGCUCCGUCUCGCUCCCCGGACCGGCCCGGCUCGUUCGACCGGCGUCUAAUCGCGCCACUUUUGGCUGCCAUCUUGAAACCUAACCUCGCCAUCUCCCGGAGAGCCUUAUCGCGAGCGAGUCGCACGAAUUUCUGCCCCCUUUUUCUAUCGCCCCCGAGAUAUCGCCCUCUUUAUCUGCCUCUUUCCCUCCCCCGGGGUUACUCCGAGGUGUUGCGUUACGAUAAACGCGAAAAUUAUUAGAUCCGCCGUUUGCGGUUCCGGGGUGCCCUCGCGUUUUAACGAAGGAAGAAACCGAUGGAACUUGCGGAAUGGAGAUAAGUAUCUUUGUAUAUUACUUCUUUUACCGUUUCUGUGAAAAUAGUGGGUAUAUAUGUGAAAAUGGAUUUGUACAUUGAACCGAGUAUUUUUAUCCCAUAUUUUGUAGCCGUUGGUGUUUCUUUUUAGGUUUCUGCUGCUAUGUAAGGCGUUUUGAAAUAGCUUGGAUUCCUGGGUGGCGGCAGAUGUAGCCGGGCACGAGUGCGGACUUUUUCAAUGAACGUUCUGCAGUUCUUAGCCUUGCAAUUCCGAGGUCGACCUCUACCGGGUUGUCGCGUAGUCUCUCGGGUGCGACGAUUUCGGCAAGACCGCAGAACCAGCGCUCGCUCUUUCGACCGGCAACCUUCGUCCAGGACGCAUCGCGAAGGAGGACUUCACGAUUCAAGGACCCAGAGAUUAAACAAUAAUCGAGACGACGUUUGUUACCAACCAUAGCCGACUGAACACCAAACCUAACAGUUACGUUACUUAAAACUAACAAAUAACAUAACGUUUGUUACAAUAUAAUAACCUA